CCCCGGUAAACGGCGGCCGUAACUAUAACGGUCCUAAGGUAGCGAAAUUCCUUGUCGGGUAAGUUCCGACCUGCACGAAUGGCGUAAUGAUGGCCACGCUGUCUCCACCCGAGACUCAGUGAAAUUGAAAUCGCUGUGAAGAUGCAGUGUACCCGCGGCUAGACGGAAAGACCCCGUGAACCUUUACUACAGCUUGGCACUGAACAUUGAACCUACAUGUGUAGGAUAGGUGGGAGGCUAUGAAGACGUGACGCCAGUUGCGUUGGAGCCGUCCUUGAAAUACCACCCUUGUAUGUUUGAUGUUCUAACUUAGACCCAUUAUCUGGGUUGAGGACAGUGCCUGGUGGGUAGUUUGACUGGGGCGGUCUCCUCCCAAAGAGUAACGGAGGAGCACGAAGGUGGGCUAAUCACGGUUGGACAUCGUGAGGUUAGUGCAAUGGCAUAAGCCCGCUUAACUGCGAGAAUGACGGUUCGAGCAGGUGCGAAAGCAGGUCAUAGUGAUCCGGUGGUUCUGUAUGGAAGGGCCAUCGCUCAACGGAUAAAAGGUACUCCGGGGAUAACAGGCUGAUACCGCCCAAGAGUUCAUAUCGACGGCGGUGUUUGGCACCUCGAUGUCGGCUCAUCACAUCCUGGGGCUGAAGUCGGUCCCAAGGGUAUGGCUGUUCGCCAUUUAAAGUGGUACGCGAGCUGGGUUUAGAACGUCGUGAGACAGUUCGGUCCCUAUCUGCCGUGGGCGUUGGAAGAUUGAAGGGGGCUGCUCCUAGUACGAGAGGACCGGAGUGGACGAACCUCUGGUGUUCGGGUUGUGUCGCCAGACGCAUUGCCCGGUAGCUAAGUUCGGAAUUGAUAAGCGCUGAAAGCAUCUAAGCGCGAAGCGAGCCCUGAGAUGAGUCUUCCCUGAUACUUUAAGUAUCCUAAAGGGUUGUUCGAGACUAGAACGUUGAUAGGCAGGGUGUGUAAGCGUUGUGAGGCGUUGAGCUAA
rnacentral:rRNA from 1 species